rnacentral:rRNA from 1 species
GUGCCAGCAGCCGCGGUAAUACGUAGGUGGCAAGCGUUGUCCGGAUUUAUUGGGCGUAAAGCGAGCGCAGGCGGUUCCUUAAGUCUGAUGUGAAAGCCCCCGGCUCAACCGGGGAGGGUCAUUGGAAACUGGGGAACUUGAGUGCAGAAGAGGAGAGUGGAAUUCCAUGUGUAGCGGUGAAAUGCGUAGAUAUAUGGAGGAACACCGGUGGCGAAAGCGGCUCUCUGGCUUGUAACUGACGCUGAGGCUCGAAAAGCGUGGGGAGCAAACAGGAUUAGAUACCCUGGUAGUCC